GACAAAGCCUUGGUUGCGAUCAUAUAGGUGGGGCUGGUCCUGCUUUGAUCAGGGGGUUGGACUAGAUGACCUCCCGAGGUCCCUUCCAACCCUCAUUUUCUAUGAUUCUAUGAAUGCGUACUGAAACAAAUCAGUAGCGUGUAGGACACUGUUGUGAAAUUGAUUAUGCCAUGGCAUGGGACCUUCUUGUGAAAAGAUGUAGCACAUUUCACUUCUUACACUUGGUUGUGUAAUUGUGACCUUUGCUUUCACAUCUGGCAGUAUAUUUGAACAGAUUAUUUCCCUCUAUAAUUAAGGAUCUGCUGCCAUGUAGUAACAAAGCUCCCUUGUGAGGUCUGAGGAAAGAAAGUGUAUCCCCAGUGGUGGGAGGCAGGGUAAUGACAUUUGCAGAGAGUGUGGAUAAAGAUACUGGAAACUAUAAGUCAGCCUGAUCAAUCACAUUAUCCAAACUUUUCAAAAUUGUUUUCAAAAUGCGGUUAAAGAAACUUUGCCUGUCACUGCUGUUGGCAUUGCUACGGUAUGCCUGGUAUUUACAUCUACCUAUAUUUGGAGCUGGUUAGGAAUUUUCUGACAAAAUGCUGGAACAUCCCAAUUCAUUGCUAAUGGACUGUUUGCAAGAAAGGUUGGCAUUGAUGAAAGCCCAACUGAAACAUUUUUUUUAAAGUUUCUAAAUAUUUUGUGUUGAUAUUUAAAAAAAAAGUUCCUGUUUUCCAGUUGAAAAUGAUUUUUCAUUUAAACGUUUAGGCUAAUUACCAUUAAAAAGAAAAAGUUAAAAUAGAAACAAAAUGUUUUGAAACUUGUCAGAAGAAACCAUUUCAAUGUACUGGAAGUGAAUUUUUGGUUUACAAACAUUUUUUAGAUUUUUGCCUUUUGUCACAAGUCGGGGUGGGCAAAAAAUUAAAAAUCUUUAGAAUUCCCACAGGGUGGGAAAUCUGCAUGAUAUUCAGCUCUACACACUUAUGAUUGUAUUUGGGUUUGGAGUGCUGUUCAAUGUAGAUCUGGUAAGUAAUAGUUCUAAGAUUUCAUUUAUAUUUGCCUAUCUGGUAUGUCAGGUAAUUCCAUCAUGCAUGCAUAAAAAAUUUAGGAGUUGACAAAUCAACUAGAAUAAUUAUUUGAUCCAAUUAACUGGAUUAGGCUUGGCUUCUAGGAGUGGCUAACACUUGACUUAACAUGUCAUACAUAGAUAUGACACUGAACACUGCAGUUAUGUGAUAUCUCCAGUGAUACUUUCAGUGUUAUAUCUGUUUAGCACUGACUUACCACAAACAUACAAAAUUACAAAAGUUGCUGUGAUUAAUUCAAGUGCAAGUAUGUGUAUGACUGUUUUUUAGAAUAAAAAUGGCUAGUGCCAAUUGCUUUACUAAUGACUUUAGAUAAAUUAGCUUUAGCUACUUUUUUCCAAAAUAAAAUAAAGUCUACACUAAAAUGAUUAAUAUGUUUUUAAUUCACAGUGCAAAUCUGUGUGCAUCAGCCCUUAGUCUGAUCAGACCAGAGGUAGGCAACCUGUUAUCUCUGUGAACCAGAAUGACCCACCCUGAGUCAGAGGUAUGUGGGCGGGGGGUUGGAUGCUAGGACGAGGCUGCCACUGUCACUUGUCUCUCUGGUGGCAUGAGGGAAGUGCCCACAGCCAAAGCCCCCUACCACUGAAUGUUGCUGAAGCCCCAUGUCCACAGACUCUAGUCAGCUUGUGGGCUGCAGGUUGCAAACUCCUGCAUUAGACAGUUAUCUCAAUUUCCUCUCCUUAGAGAUUUCUAUUGAGGUAUAAUUUGCAUAAGAAACUGCUCUCCCCUUAGAAAUGUGGACUUUACUCAUUGCAUUCUGAAAUACUUGCAAAAAUAGAGCUUUCUGCUUCGGUAAUUUUUUAGAUUUUAGAUCUGCGUUCUAUAGCAGAGCCUUCUCUCUGGGUGAAAACUGUUACACUGACACUGGUAUCCCUGUCCCCAUUUAGUAUUGUGCACAACACUGGGUGGCACUCUAAACACUGGCUGGAGCCUCGAGCCACCCACAUACUCAUUCUGUGUGAGAUGCUUGUAGGAGAGAGAGAUCUUUGCCUACUGGAAAGAGAUGAGAGCAACCUGAACAACAAGCUCCUGCCCUUCCCACUGCUGCUGCCCGAUACCUUGCUGUGUUACAGAAGCUUUUCAAUAGAGGGGAGCGACAUUUUCCCAACAGGGCAUCUUUACUGAAUGUUUUUUCACUGUAAGACGGGGGUAUCAAGCUCAUCAGGCCUGUGGGCCAGAUGAGGGGUGUGGGGCUGGUCUGCGGACUUGGUUGAGUCCACAGACCCGCUCCACAUGCCAGAUCCAGCGUGCAGGGCUGGUCUGGCAUGGACAUUGCAUGCAGGGCACGCCUUACACUGGCUGCAUUGUAGCACACAUGCCAGCUGCAGCCCCACACAGUGCAUGCAGCAUGCACCAGACCAGCUCCACAUACAGCGUAUGCUUGUAGCACACAUGCCAGCUGCAGCCCCACACAGUGCAUGCAGCACGCACCAGACCAGCUCCACAUACAGCGUAUGCACCAGCUUCAGCCCUGUGUACUAGACCAGCUUCAUGCACUGCAUAUAACGCAUGGGGCUGGGGCCAGCACAUGCUGCAUGUGGCAUGUGGGGCCAGGCGGAGGUAUGCCAUGUGCAGUGUAUUAGUCCAGUCUAAGAUCCACAGGCAGUAUUGGGCCAGAUAAUAGGAUAUUUGUCCCACGGAUCUUUGUUGCCUUUCAGUUUCUCUUCUCUAAUGUGGGGACACCUGCUUACAUGAUUCCAGGAAUUCUUUGCAUUGUAAGGGCUUUGAGAAAGGGACUGCUUUUUUUGUAAAGAUGUGAUGUUCAUGCAUUAUUUCUAUACUCCUUUGAACAAGGCUUAUUAUUUUCAGCAGAAAAGCCGUGGAUUCUUAAAUUAAAUUAUUAGAAUUUUGGGACAUUCCUCUGUUUAAUUAUAACUUAAAGGUAGGCUGAAUUUUGGCCUACAUUCUGUAUUUUCCUUACAUUUUUUCUCUUGUGACUUCAGAAUCCUGUCGCUUUAGCUCUGAGGAAAAGUUUAAAUGCUAGAUGUGCAGUUCUUCCCGGGUAGCCAAAUGGAAGAAUUUAUUACUUGUGUCUGUCUGUUAAGAAGUAAUAAUAAUAAUAAAAGAAAUUAAAUUUCCCUAUCUGAAAUUAAGUUGCUAAGCAACCAGUCGUACCAAGUAUACCACCUACAUAAGCAUUGUUACAAACCAAAACUUAAUUUGCAGCACAAAUCAUUGUUGGAUGGUGCGUUGUUAUACUGAAAAGCCUAGUCUCAGGGAGUCAGCACAGUCAGGACCACAGGCUAGUUUUCAGUCACCAUAAGGUAGUAUGGAAGUCCUUGCACUCCAGCUGCCUCUUGCCCUUACAAUUCAACAUUCCUAUGUCCACAAUAAACCUGGCUACUUGAACCAAUCAACUGAAACACCCCCUUAUGUAUUAAAAAUAUUGAAUUGUAUGAUCACAUUUAAAUCAGUACAAGUAAACGGAGCAGAGGUAUAACUAGUCGAUACCAUAUAAUACUGGGUGCCAGCAACACAUGAUGCAAGAGCAGCAGCCAGAAGUUUGCUGCUGCAGCUUUUCUUGUUGCUGACACGUGUCAAGCAGCCAUUUAAAUACUGAUUUUUGGCAGCCAAGAAAAAAGGAGGGGACAUCUUUCUCCUUACAGCAGUGAAUCUCUGUCCAUUGCUCCUUGUAAGAGGUCACGGCUGAGGCCAGCUGGCUCCCCUGUUACCAUCCUCAGACCAAAGGGGUCAGUCCCACCUUCUGACUUGCUCCCUGCAACCUAAUGUUAAAAGAUAGAAGUUCUUCAGUGGAGUCUUCCCCUUUUCCCCAGCUGGUAUCUCUGGCUUUGCUUUUCCAGCUCACUAUUCACAUCGCUCCUUGUCACCUAGUACACUUGCUGCUUUCAUGCCAUCUGGGGUCUAUUGACCAGGUAUUCCCCCCCCACAACGCAAUCUGGGGAAUCUUCUACCCCAGAGCUUUCCAAACUUUUCAUGUUGGUGACACACUUUUUAGACAUGCAUCAUUUCGCGACACAGUAAUUCAGUUCCGGGGGAGGGGCCAAGGGAAGCAGACGCGAGUAAGGGAGCUCCGCGAUGCCCUUCCGCAAAAUUUUCUGCAUUUCGCGCGACACACCUACACACUGCCGCCGACACACUAAUGUGUCGUGGCACAGUUUGGAAAGCUCUGUUCUACCCCAUUUUAGCUGACACCAUCCCGAGUGGGAGGCUAUACGUCUUUGUCUAUAUUGAGUCACUCAAGCCCUGUGUUUGAGUUAGGAGAUCUGAUAGGACACCAAGCCUUCCAGUCCUGGCUUGGGUGUGUAUGCUAAUGUUCAGUUCCCAUCUUUCUGCUCAGGAUCCCUAAAAGUCCGUUCUUUACAAACAAACAAAAAUACAGGCAGAGCGUCUGCCCCUCUCCAAUUUCUGGUGCGUGUUUCUUGGCCUUCCACCCAGGGGUCUUUCCAUUCACACCUGUUCCUGUCUUUCUGCAGCCUCAUGAAGUGACCAGCCAGUCAGGGAUGAGAGCCUCCUGCGUUAUGGUGUUCCAGUCCCCUGCAGUGAGUAAGCUGUCUUAUUUUUAACUAUAAAGGGAACUCUUCAAUCUCCUGCUGAGAAAUAUGCUAGGCAAGUGAUACAAGUAAAAUUGCAAAAAAAUAAAGGACUUUUGUUACAAAAACCAAAACUUUUCAUUCUGGCUCCAACCAUCUGUGUUUUGAUUUGAGAGGGUAAAAUAUAUAUAUAUGGAUCAAAGUUCUGAAAGAUGCUGUGACCAGAUGUACAGAACAAGAUGCUGACUCAAAAGGUGAAUUAUAAGACCAACACGGCUACCAAGUACACCCCUGAAACAUGGAAGAUGCCGAAUUUUAG